rnacentral:rRNA from 1 species
UACGGGGGGGGCAAGCGUUGUUCGGAAUUACUGGGCGUAAAGGGCGCGUAGGCGGCCUUCUAAGUCGGACGUGAAAUCCCUCGGCUCAACCGGGGAACUGCGUCCGAUACUGGAGGGCUUGAAUCCGGGAGAGGGAUGUGGAAUUCCAGGUGUAGCGGUGAAAUGCGUAGAUAUCUGGAGGAACACCGGUGGCGAAGGCGGCAUCCUGGACCGGCAUUGACGCUGAGGAGCGAAAGCCAGGGGAGCAAACGGG